GACGAACGCUGGCGGCGUGCCUAAUACAUGCAAGUAGAACGCUGAAGGAGGAGCUUGCUUCUCCGGAUGAGUUGCGAACGGGUGAGUAACGCGUAGGUAACCUGCCUGGUAGCGGGGGAUAACUAUUGGAAACGAUAGCUAAUACCGCAUAAGAGUAGAUGUCGCAUGACAUUUGCUUAAAAGGUGCAACUGCACCACUACCAGAUGGACCUGCGUUGUAUUAGCUAGUUGGUGAGGUAACGGCUCACCAAGGCAACGAUACAUAGCCGACCUGAGAGGGUGAUCGGCCACACUGGGACUGAGACACGGCCCAGACUCCUACGGGAGGCAGCAGUAGGGAAUCUUCGGCAAUGGACGGAAGUCUGACCGAGCAACGCCGCGUGAGUGAAGAAGGUUUUCGGAUCGUAAAGCUCUGUUGUAAGAGAAGAACGAGUGUGAGAGUGGAAAGUUCACACUGCGACGGUAUCUUACCAGAAAGGGACGGCUAACUACGUG
rnacentral:rRNA from 1 species